rnacentral:lncRNA from 13 species
GAAUAAAAUGGCUUAUUUUAUGCUUUGAGCAAUUUUUAUCCCAGAUUGUGACUAAAGAAUAGGAAGAAAGUGUACAUCUUCUGAAAGAAUCCACUACAAAAGAAUCUGAUGGGCAUAGAAGGGAAGCAUUGCAGCUGUUUCAUUUCUGUGCCUUCCACUGGAGUCUCCUGAGAAGGCACCCUGCAGCCUGCCAAUUGUUCUUUCUCCUUUAAUGGAUUAUCCAAUGGAGAUCCAAAGCCCAUGGCAGAAUGGACAGAUAACCACAGUGUCUGAGCACAUUACUCCUCAAACUGAGAACAGUGAAGUUUGAACGUUCGCUUCUCAAUCCACUGUCAUAUGGCUUCUGCCCUGCGAAUGGCACUGAUUUUUCUACAUCACUAAAUGUUAACAGACAUGUAAAUUUUAACAGAACCUUGAGCAGGAUUUAAUGUAAUCGAGCACAUACAUUCUCAUUGUCUUCUCUUGGCUCUCUGAACAAUAUACUUUCCUAGGUUUUUCCUGUGUUGGUUGUGUCUUAGUUUCUUUUAUUGGGCUUUCUCAAAGUUGAAUCCUGAAUCUUCUUUUCUAUAUCUUUUUUAAAGAAUUCAAUGAUCACCUAUGCCUGCAUUGUCUAAUAUGGUAACCACUAGCCAAAGGUGGCUAGUAAGCACUUGGAAAGUUGGUAUCUAAAUCAUACUGCUACAAGGAUAAAACACUUACUAUAAAGUUUGAAGACUUAUUGGAAACAAAAAUCAAAAGAAUAGUUGAAGCAGGAGAGGGGAGACCUGGUUAAAAAUGGAAUUUACAAAAUGGUCAUAUAAGAGGAAAUGUAGCUGUAUAGAAGUGGAAAGAAUCUGUCCAGAGACAGGAGAGACAAGAAGAGAAAGCCUCACCCAGUAAAAGUAAAAGGAGAUAGGACUCCAGGGUGACAUACGGAUUCCCCCUUUCCCCCAUAUCUAAGACAGUAAUGGGAAAAAUCAGAAAAAAUUUAAAAAAAUCAAUGUUGUUUUUGACUUGCUGCAUUUCUUCUUUUUCUCAUUGCAUGAAGUAUAAUCCAGAUAAGUGAACUAGGGAGCAUAAAAGUUUUGGUUUUGAUUAAAUCAAAAGCUUCCAAAUGCAGUCAACUUGACAUUUAAGUAGGAAUUGUCUGGAAGUUAUGUUUGGCUUCCACUCCUAUCUUUGUCUGCACAUCCUCUUUCCUUCUAGGAGUCCUUCACAUUUCAGAAACAGAGUGUGGAGGAGGCAGAACUAAGUCAAUCAUGGGUUCUUCAAUUACUCGAAACUGUCAUGCUGGCCAACCUCAAUUGAU